rnacentral:rRNA from 1 species
GACGAACGCUGGCGGCGUGCUUAACACAUGCAAGUCGAACGGAAAGGCCCUGCUUUUGUGGGGUGCUCGAGUGGCGAACGGGUGAGUAACACGUGAGUAACCUGCCCUUGACUUUGGGAUAACUUCAGGAAACUGGGGCUAAUACCGGAUAGGAGCUCCUGCUGCAUGGUGGGGGUUGGAAAGUUUCGGCGGUUGGGGAUGGACUCGCGGCUUAUCAGCUUGUUGGUGGGGUAGUGGCUUACCAAGGCUUUGACGGGUAGCCGGCCUGAGAGGGUGACCGGCCACAAUGGGACUGAGGUACCGCCCAGACUCCUACGGGAGGCAACAGUGGGGAAUAUUGCACAAUGGGCGGAAGCCUGAUGCAGCAACGCCGCGUGCGGGAUGACGGCCUUCGGGUUGUAAACCGCUUUCGCCUGUGACGAAGCGUGAGUGACGGUAAUGGGUAAAGAAGCACCGGCUAACUACGUG